UAAAAAUUAAAUAGCCGCGGUAUCCUGACCGUGCAAAGGUAGCAUAAUCAUUAGUUUUUUAAUUGGAAACUGGUAUGAAUGGUUGGACAAGGAAAAAACUGUCUCUUUUAUUAAAAUUGAAUUUAACUUUUAAGUGAAAAGGCUUAAAUUAAUCAAGGGGACGAUAAGACCCUAUAAAGCUUUAUAAGUUCAAUAAUUUCAUAUAUUUUUGUAUAAAUAAGAUGUUAAAACAACUUAUUAGGUUGGGGCGACGAUAGUAUAAAAAUAGUAACUGCUUUUUGAUAAAACAAACAUAUUUGAAUUAUAAUGAUUAAUAGAUCCUUUAUUAAGAUUUUAAGAUCAAGUUACUUUAGGGAUAACAGCGUUAUUUUUUCUGAGAGUCCUUAUCAAAGAAAAAGUUUGCGACCUCGAUGUUGAAUUAAAAUGUCUUCAUAGUGCAGCAGCUAUAAAAGAAAGUCUGUUCGACUUUUAAUAUUUUACGUGAUCUGAGU
rnacentral:rRNA from 1 species